rnacentral:misc_RNA from 1 species
UACAUUUGCAGCAUAUAGUACAUGAUGAGGUCCUCAUCAACACAGCUCCAUCUAAACGAAAUCAUCCUGUUGUUGUUGUUGCUUUUGCUCCGACAUUGAAAAUAAACUUGCCUCAACUGCAUCCUCAAUGCUCAAAAAUAUGGAUUCCUUUCCAAUCUUGUCUACAAAGUGUGACCUUAUCAUUUUCUCCAUUACUUCUAGCCUAGGGUUUAUAAUUGCAAUCUUAAUGCUUUUUGCUUCAAGCAUUUUUCUUAUUUCAAUUAAUGUUUCGAUACCUGUUGUAUCGAUGGAGG